GAAAAUGUAGCUCAGUGGAAGAGCACUUGCUCAGCACGUAUGAGGGCCUGGGUUCAAAUCCUAGCACCUCCA
rfam:Cricetulus griseus cell line CHO-K1, whole genome shotgun sequence.